UACAGAGGGGGCAAGCGUUGUUCGGAAUUACUGGGCGUAAAGGGCGCGUAGGCGGCCUUCUAAGUCGAACGUGAAAUCCCCGGGCUCAACCCGGGAACUGCGUCCGAUACUGGAAGGCUUGAAUCCGGGAGAGGGAUGCGGAAUUCCAGGUGUAGCGGUGAAAUGCGUAGAUAUCUGGAGGAACACCGGUGGCGAAGGCGGGUCUCUGGGCAGUAACUGACGCUGAGGAGCGAAAGCGUGGGGAGCGAACAGG
rnacentral:rRNA from 1 species